UACGGGGGGGGCAAGCGUUGUUCGGAAUUACUGGGCGUAAAGGGCUCGUAGGCGGCCAACUAAGUCGGAUGUGAAAUCCCCAGGCUUAACCUGGGAACUGCAUCCGAUACUGGAUGGCUUGAAUCCGGGAGAGGGAUGCAGAAUUCCAGGUGUAGCGGUGAAAUGCGUAGAUAUCUGGAGGAAUACCGGUGGCGAAGGCGGCAUCCUGGACCGGCAUUGACGCUGAGUGAGCGAAAGCCAGGGGAGCAAACAGG
rnacentral:rRNA from 1 species